rnacentral:lncRNA from 1 species
UUGUAAAAUGACUCAUUUUUUAAAUCCUUCCAGGAGGGGCCAUGUUUGGGAGGGGCAAAGUUGAGAGCAAGAGAGAAAGCAUCUGCUCUGAAAGUUGGAGGAGCAAUUCUGAUAACUCACACAGCAUCUGCCAGUAUAUGUCUCAAGCCUUCUGCAGCUGCUGCCAGUCCAGGCUGCAAUCAAGAUCAUUGAAGGAAGUGACCACAUAUCCUAGAUCAGCUAGCAGCAUGUGACUGCACAUCUCAUUGCAAGGCACACCACAACUCUUCUUGCUCCCAUCCAAAUUCACUUUGGAGUCUCAUCAUGGGAUGAAGGCAGUGGGAUCUCUAUCUCACUUGAGGAGGAGAAAGAAAUGAGAAGCAGAAUGAGGUUGUAAAUUAUAUCCCAAAGGUAAUGGAAAACCAGGAUGGGCUUUAGGGCUUGAAUAUCUUUUAUUUAAUAUGUCAUAUUUUGUGGUUGCGCAGGGGGGCUGUGGAGCCUCUGUUUUCAGAGAUAUUCUGAACCUAACUGGACACAGCCUGCUCUGGGUGGCCUUGUUAGAGGUUGGACAAAAUGGUCUCUGGGGGUCCCUUCCAGCUGCAACGAAUCUGUGAUUGUAUGGUUCUGAAAUUUAAAUAUUUUUUUCCAAUUUUCUGAGAGAAGAAUGAGCUAAACGAACAAAAGUGAAAGUUAACAAAAGCUUUCCUUGUUUCAACCCAAUAGCACUAACUUCUAUUUAUCCUUCUAACCACUGCCAACCUUGUUAACCUGAGCAAUCCCAUUAUGUCAGUUGGAUUUUAUCAGCAACAAAGGUAAUUCUUUAGGCUACCUCAGGUUUUCCUCAGUGUGGAAAUACAGGGAGCAAGGAAGAAGCACAGAUGCACAUUCUGGUUCUCUGUUCCUGUGGGGUCAGGAUUUGUCAAAACACACCCAGGACCUAGGACAUCUGCUGGGAUGUUUUAUGUAGGUGCAAGUUAUACCUGCAUGGGUGAGGAAAUUGUGGCAUACUCAUAGAGAAAUGUGUGGGAAUGGGUUUAGCAGCCACACUGAACAGCUGCUCAUAGUUCAAAGAAAGACAGGACAAGGGUUUAAAUGGAACCUCCACAUGAUGCAGAUUAGCCUGUAAAAAAUUAUAUAUUUGUUUAUAGGGCUGGGUUUUAGGCAUCCUGGGCCUCAGGAUCUUUGGC